GGAGAGGUGCCAGAGUGGCCGAACGGGGCGGUCUCGAAAACCGUUGAGGGCUUUGCCCUCCGAGGGUUCGAAUCCCUCCCUCUCCG
rnacentral:tRNA from 1 species